rnacentral:rRNA from 1 species
UACGUAGGGUGCAGGCGUUAAUCGGAAUUACUGGGCGUAAAGCGUGCGCAGGCGGUUUGCUAAGACAGGUGUGAAAUCCCCGGGCUUAACCUGGGAACUGCGCUUGUAACUGGCAAGCUAGAGUGUGGCAGAGGGGGGUGGAAUUCCACGUGUAGCAGUGAAAUGCGUAGAUAUGUGGAGGAACACCGAUGGCGAAGGCAGCCCCCUGGGCUAACACUGACGCUCAUACACGAAAGCGUGGGGAGCAAACAGG